rnacentral:rRNA from 1 species
UAGUCAUAUGCUUGUCUCAAAGAUUAAGCCAUGCAUGUCUAAGCACAAGCCGAUUAAUGGUGAAGCCGCGAAUGGCUCAUUACAACAGCCAUAGUUUCUUAGAUCUUACUUUUCUACUUGGAUAACUGUGGUAAUUCUAGAGCUAAUACACGCAAACAAGCUCAGACCUUACGGAAUGAGCGCAUUUAUUAGAACAAAAACCAAUCGGGCUUCGGUCCGUCAUUUGGUGAAUCUGAAUAACUUUGCUGAUCACACGGUCUUCGUACCGGCGACAUAUCUUUCAAAUGUCUGCCUUAUCAACUUUCGAUGGUAGUUUAUGCGCCUACCAUGGUUGUAACGGGUAACGGAGAAUAAGGGUUCGACUCCGGAGAGGGAGCCUGAGAAACGGCUACCACAUCCAAGGAAGGCAGCAGGCACGCAAAUUACCCACUCCCGGCACGGGGAGGUAGUGACGAAAAAUAACGAGACGGCUCGCUAUGCGGUCCGUCAUCGGAAUGGGUACAAUUUAAAUCCUUUAACGAGGAUCUAUU